CCCAGUAGCGGCGAGCGAACGGGGAGGAGCCCAGAGCCUGAAUCAGCAUGUGUGUUAGUGGAAGCGUCUGGAAAGGCGCGCGAUACAGGGUGACAGCCCCGUACACAAAAGCGCAUGUGCUGUGAGCUCGAUGAGUAGGGCGGGACACGUGGUAUCCUGUCUGAAUAUGGGGGGACCAUCCUCCAAGGCUAAAUACUCCUGACUGACCGAUAGUGAACCAGUACCGUGAGGGAAAGGCGAAAAGAACCCCGGCGAGGGGAGUGAAAAAGAACCUGAAACCGUGUACGUACAAGCAGUGGGAGCACCCUUUGGGGUGUGACUGCGUACCUUUUGUAUAAUGGGUCAGCGACUUAUAUUCUGUAGCAAGGUUAACCGUAUAGGGGAGCCGUAGGGAAACCGAGUCUUAACCGGGCGUUAAGUUGCAGGGUAUAGACCCGAAACCCGGUGAUCUAGCCAUGGGCAGGUUGAAGGUUGGGUAACACUAACUGGAGGACCGAACCGACUAAUGUUGAAAAAUUAGCGGAUGACCUGUGGCUGGGGGUGAAAGGCCAAUCAAACCGGGAGAUAGCUGGUUCUCCCCGAAAGCUAUUUAGGUAGCGCCUCGUGAAUUCAUCUCCGGGGGUAGAGCACUGUUUCGGCUAGGGGGCCAUCCCGGCUUACCAACCCGAUGCAAACUGCGAAUACCGGAGAAUGUUAUCACGGGAGACACACGGCGGGUGCUAACGUCCGUCGUGAAGAGGGAAACAACCCAGACCGCCAGCUAAGGUCCCAAAGUCAUGGUUAAGUGGGAAACGAUGUGGGAAGGCCCAGACAGCCAGGAUGUUGGCUUAGAAGCAGCCAUCAUUUAAAGAAAGCGUAAUAGCUCACUGGUCGAGUCGGCCUGCGCGGAAGAUGUAACGGGGCUAAACCAUGCACCGAAGCUGCGGCAGCGACACUGUGUGUUGUUGGGUAGGGGAGCGUUCUGUAAGCCUGUGAAGGUGUGUCGUGAGGCAUGCUGGAGGUAUCAGAAGUGCGAAUG
rnacentral:rRNA from 1 species